AGUGAACGCUAGCGGUAGGCCUAACACAUGCAAGUCGAACGGCAGCACAGUAAGAGCUUGCUCUUACGGGUGGCGAGUGGCGGACGGGUGAGGAAUACAUCGGAAUCUACUUUUUCGUGGGGGAUAACGUAGGGAAACUUACGCUAAUACCGCAUACGACCUACGGGUGAAAGCAGGGGAUCUUCGGACCUUGCGCGAUUGAAUGAGCCGAUGUCGGAUUAGCUAGUUGGCGGGGUAAAGGCCCACCAAGGCGACGAUCCGUAGCUGGUCUGAGAGGAUGAUCAGCCACACUGGAACUGAGACACGGUCCAGACUCCUACGGGAGGCAGCAGUGGGGAAUAUUAGACAAUGGGCGCAAGCCUGAUCCAGCCAUACCGCGUGGGUGAAGAAGGCCUUCGGGUUGUAAAGCCCUUUUGUUGGGAAAGAAAAGCAGCAGGUUAAUACCCCGCUGUUCUGACGGUACCCAAAGAAUAAGCACCGGCUAACUUCGUG
rnacentral:rRNA from 1 species